rnacentral:misc_RNA from 2 species
AAACCUCAACCUCCAUGGUUUCUUCCGGGGACCAAAGGAGGCUUGGACUUUGGAGGUUUUUGCUGGUGUCUUUGAAGGCCAGCUCCUCUUAAAUGAAUUAGCGGGGUCCUCUUUGCCGAUCCUGGACAUGUGAUAAGAUGCUUCCGUGUCUUGGUUUCUGGCUCUGCUGCCUUUGGGACCCGCUUCCAAUCGUCUUGACCUUGCGUCGAGACCAUGUUCGAGCCCGUCUCCCUUCUUGGGAAACCCUCUCGACCCCACGCAC